rnacentral:rRNA from 1 species
AUGAACGCUGGCGGCGUGCUUAACACAUGCAAGUCGAACGAAGCACCUCUAAUCGAAGAUCGAGAAAGCUUGCUUUGAUUGAUUCACCUUGAGGUGACUGAGUGGCGGACGGGUGAGUAACGCGUGGGCAACCUACCCUAUACAGGGGGAUAACAGUUGGGAACGACUGCUAAUACCGCAUAAGCGCACAGGACCGCAUGGUCUAGUGUGAAAAAACUCCGGUGGUAUAGGAUGGACCCGCGUCUGAUUAGCUAGUUGGUGAGGUAACGGCUCACCAAGGCGACGAUCAGUAGCCGACCUGAGAGGGUGACCGGCCACAUUGGGACUGAGACACGGCCCAAACUCCUACGGGAGGCAGCAGUGGGGAAUAUUGCACAAUGGGCGAAAGCCUGAUGCAGCGACGCCGCGUGAACGAAGAAGUAUUUCGGUAUGUAAAGUUCUAUCAGCAGGGAAGAAAAAUGACGGUACCUGACUAAGAAGCUCCGGCUAAAUACGUGCCAGCCGCCGC